UUGCUCAGUUAAUAAAGUUGUUCCUCUUUACCUUUAGUGUUGCUGGAGUUCCUGCGUUGUUAGUAGCUUUUUUUAUAUCAAUAGAGUGUUUUGCACUGGUCCAGACUGUUAGCAAAUCUGGACUUAUAACACGCCUAAUUUUGUCCUACCCCCUUUGAGCCCUGAGCGCACGUAAUUUGGAAAAUUUUCAUUGUCAUGAACCGAAGGUUCACACAAGGAGAGGACCCAAACGCCGACACCAGAAUUCACAAGAGUCUUUAUUAAUCAGCAGAAAACAUUAGGGAAUGCGAUUCUGGUUAGAUAUGGCAAUGGGGAAAUGGCGACUUGAGCAGGGAAGGGUGGCCCUAGGAAACUGGACCAUGAAACAGGAAGUCAUGCGAGGGACGGAGGAACGAGAGGAAUUCUGCAACAGAAGAAGGCGGCGUUAUUUUUUGGAUGGAUCCCAGGUGAUGUGCUGGAAGCCCCACCCCUAAGGAAUGGACAGAGGACCAACUGCCACAGGUGGAAAAAGCCCCAGACACUCCCACGGACCAUGACAUUCAUAGUGUGAAGUUUUUCCUGCUUCGAGGCAGAUGCAGCACCAGCUGUUUGGAGGACCUCUGAAGUCUUUAGAUGAAAUUGAAAAUAUUGGAUAGAAGGCGCGAGUUUUGACAGAACAGGUGGUGGUAAGAAAGCCAGUUGACUCCGGGGUGAGAUAAAGAUGCAAAGACAGGAGACAUACUCAUUUUUGCAGAAGCACAGAAAUGUUCCAUAUCUAAGAAAAGAUGUAAAACAAUUUGUUGCAAGCCAUCUGCAAAUAUUCAUCUAUGAUCUAUAAAAACGAGACAAGAGUAUGUUUUAAUGUACCUGUUGCUGUAGCUUUAACUGCUGCAUAAAGAAAGCAGAAGAAAAUAUGGAUGAUAGGUACAAGAUACAACUUUGUUCUUUCUUGUUACUUUUAAAAUAUAUAAACCUUUAAAUUACUUGUUUGGUUUUAAUUCUCAAAUCCUUUCACUUCUGUCACUGAGUCUGUUUUAAUGAAGCCUAGAAUGAGAAGCAUUGUAAGCAUUUUUCAAAAGCAGCCUUGGAGUGUUUCAUCUCCCCUCAGAGAGCACUCAGCUAUGUUUUCCACAAGGUUAACUGGUGAACUCACACAGACAAACUGAGAAUGAAGAUUUCUGGACAUAGUGAAUCAUACUGUGAAUCUGCUGUGACACAAAACCUAAAAUUAAAAGACACCAUUAUCAUUUGUUACAAGGGACAUUACAUAUCCCUGAAUACUGGUUCUUUAUCAAGCUAAAAGCUAUGAAAUUCCUAGAAGGGUCAAAGAAAUACAGCAUUUAUUUUAAAUUAAGUGGCCUAUCUGUUAGUGCUCACUUGCACUGCAAAUAAAAUGUAUUUCUCCACUGGCUCAGUUGUUCUCAUUUGGCUAUAAAACUAUCCACUGGUCCAAAUAAAAGACACAUCUGUCCAAAGAGAAUCAUUUUAACACUGUCAUUAAGUCCUACAGUUCUUUAGCCUCUCUAAAUGGGUGCUAGCUGGCUGCUUCUGGCUGGAACUGGCAAGGGACUCAUCCCAAUUAUUUCUUAGGACUGAAAUAAUUGGGAUGCCAUUAAACUGCCCUCAACAGUUGCUGUUAAUAAAGCUCUGUUCAACAAAAUACCCCAAAGACAUUGUCUAUUGGAUAAUUUAUACCUCUGCUCUCACAUAAACAAGUUACCUUUAAAUAAGUAAUGGGCCGCUAAUUAGCUCCAGAACGUCACUCUUUUCAGCAAGGACGGUUGGUUUGAGGCUGAUGAUACACAAUAGGGUAAAACAGAGAAGAGGUGUGCGAGCCAGAAUCUGACAGGCAGAGGAGUGAUUGCAGUGGAUGAGUAGAUAUUAUGACAUGUAUUUGAUUCAUCAGCAGGCUUAAAGGUUUUAACUUUAUUAUUUAACAUUUAUUAGAUUCAGUAAAAAUGAUUUGCUGUAAGGUGAGUUUCACAAAGGUAUUCAACUCUGAAUAUCUUAAUUUUAGGAUUAGGGAAAAGAUAAAUUUAAUAUAUCCAUGUAAAUCGCUUGGGCAAAUGACAUAGAAUGUAAUUACAUAACCCGAAUACGACAAAAUCAGCAGAUGACAUAAUACCAUGCACCAGGCUUUAAUUAUAAUCA